rnacentral:rRNA from 1 species
CCCUUAGAUGUCCUGGGCCGCACGCGCGCUACACUGAUGCAUGCAACGAGUUUAUAACCUUGGCCUGAAAGGUCUGGGUAAUCUUUUGAACGUGCAUCGUGAUAGGGAUAGAUUAUUGCAAUUGUUAAUCUUGAACGAGGAAUUCCUAGUAAACGCGAGUCAUCAGCUCGCAUUGAUUACGUCCCUGCCCUUGUACACACCGCCCGUCGCACCUACCGAUUGAAUGGUUCGGUGAAGAUCUCGGACUUCGAUAUUUAUUCUUUAUUGAGUUUAUAUUGUGGGAAGUUAUCUAAACCUCAUCAUUUAGAGGAAGGUGAAGUCGUAACA